AGCACUACGACCUGAGUCAGAUUCUAAGAUUGCUUGGGCAAUCAUGACAGACGCAUAAAUAUCGUUAUCUUGACCAAUGCGAUGUGCAUCUUUAGCAAUUGAUUUGACAAAUUGACG
rnacentral:sRNA from 1 species